rnacentral:sRNA from 1 species
GAGCUGGCUGAGCAGGUUUCUGGAAAUACAGUCUGCAUAGUAAGAUCAUGCUGGCCCUUUCUCCCAUUCCUACUCCCAAGUCCCACUAACUCUACCAGGUCCCAGAUACCCAUGAAGACUUAAUAAAAUGCAUCUUGAUACAUAUAAGGCUGCUGCACAAAACAUAAAGAGUUAAUUCGGGGAAGAAUAAAUUGUUUGCUUGGCCUGACACCAAUUAGUGUCCACACCUCUGAGAAAGAACAUGGAUCCACAACUAUCCAUGAAAGCCCAAUGCAUGGGGGCAACAUGAAUUAGUACUGGGCCAACACCCUCAAAAGAGGUCAGUAGAACCAAGAGAAGGUCAUGCUAACCAUGUGGUCCACGCACUGAGUGUUGUAAAACCUGGUGUGACACCAUAGGUCCAGGUCAGCCUAAUAAACUUCUGCUGACUUCAAUCAGUACUGUUCUAUCUAGAGCCUUCUGAAAAUGCCUCGACAAUCCUGGGAUGAGGAACAGUCUUUUAUGGAACUGAAAACUGAGUCCUAAUGACCCUGGAACACUGAUGGGUAAAUAGCACAAGAGAUAGAACCAGAGCUGAAGACCGUCCAAUCCAGAACAAAGAAAGUCAGAAAUGGCAAUUCCACAGGUGAUAGCCUUUCUGACCAGGACUUACCUAGAGAAGGUCUUCAUAAUAUGGAUUUGGCCUGAAGUGUGGCCUGGCCCCAAAUGAUAGAAUACAAUGAACAUCGGCAUUUAGGAAUAUAUUAACUCAGGGUGGGUCCUAUAUUACCCCAGGCUGCUGCCUGGAUCUUCCAGCACUCAGUCCCCUGCCUAGCAAGUACAGAGACUCACCAUAAACUCACUGCAAUUACAAUCUUGCAAAGCCACCAUUUGUCAAGGGCUUUGCAAAUGCACACUGGGAACUCACUCUCCCUGACUUUAUCCCUGAAUUCUUCAUUCAGACUACAAGUUCUGCUUUUAAAUAAAUGGAAGCAGAUGAGUCCAUUUUCAAUCUCACUCCUCAGGAAGGGUCAGGUUCUGAAUUUCCACAAUAUGGGAGGUGAGGUUUAGCACAGGGUGGUUAGGGAGGCACAGCUUUCUAGAACCCAAAACCUUAAUAGGA